rnacentral:rRNA from 1 species
CCUACGGGUGGCAGCAGUGGGGAAUUGUUCACAAUGGGCGCAAGCCUGAUGACGCAACGCCGCGUGGAGGAUGAAGGUCUUCGGAUUGUAAACUCCUGUUGCCCGGGACGCGGUACCGGGUGAGGAAGCCCCGGCUAAAUCUGUGCCAGCAGCCGCGGUAAUACAGAGGGGGCAAGCGUUGUUCGGAAUUACUGGGCGUAAAGGGCGCGUAGGCGGCCUUCUAAGUCGAACGUGAAAUCCCUGGGCUCAACCCAGGAACUGCGUCCGAUACUGGAAGGCUUGAAUCCGGGAGAGGGAUGCGGAAUUCCAGGUGUAGCGGUGAAAUGCGUAGAUAUCUGGAGGAACACCGGUGGCGAAGGCGGCAUCCUGGACCGGAUUGACGCUGAGGCGCGAAAGCCAGGGGAGCAAACGGGAUUAGAUACCCUUGUAGUC